rnacentral:lncRNA from 1 species
GUCACUAUAAAUACCCAUUUCCCUACCAAACCAAGUGAUCACAACACACCGUCAAAACCCACCAAAACAACCAUGGCUUUCUCAAAGUUAAUCAUGGCUUCCCUUCUUCUCUCCCUCGUCGUCCUCCAGCUUACCCUGCAUGCUGCUGCUGCUGCUGCUGCUGAUAGCUACCCCGGUACUCCAACCACCGGUAAUUACUUAACUUCCCUGCAAAAGAUUAAUGAAAUUUUGUGUAAGAUUUGAUUGAUAAAGUGUUGUAACAAAUAAUUUCAGACUGUAAGGGCGCGUGCAAGGCGAGGUGUCGGCUGUCGAGCAGGCCAAACCUAUGCCACAGGGCUUGUGGAACUUGCUGCAAAAGAUGCAGCUGCGUCCCUCCCGGUACCGCCGGCAACUAUGACAAGAGUGCNNNNNNNNNNNNNNNNNNNNNNNNNNNUUAGCCCGCACGCGGCGGCCGCAGCAAGUGCCCUUAAUUUAUUAAUUAAUUAAAAUCAUCUUGUACGAUGAUGAAGUGUUUUCCAUUUGGUAAAUAAUAAGACAGCUGUUGAUCGAAAGCUUAUUACUAAAAGCUGGGUUUGUUUUGUAUAAUUAGUUGUUGUUUAAUAAUUAAUAUUGUGGCCAGGUUUCAAUGGAUGUUGAAAAAUAAUAAUAUAAUAUUUUAUGUCAGGUUUCAAUAUCGAUACUAAAUUAUAAAGUGUAUCCUAUUUUGGGAUAAUAGGAUGUUUAUUAUUUAUAGUAAUAAUUGAUAUUUUCGAUAUAGUAUUUGGACAAAAAGUA